CAGCCGCCGCGGUAAUACGAGGGGGGCAAGCGUUGUUCGGAAUUAUUGGGCGUAAAGGGUGCGUAGGCGGUUCAGCAAGUCUCGUGUGAAAUCUUCGGGCUCAACCCGAAAUCUGCACGGGAAACUACUGGGCUUGAGUAAUGGAGAGGUGAGUUGAAUUUCCGGUGUAGCGGUGAAAUGCGUAGAUAUCGGAAGGAACACCUGUGGCGAAAGCGGCUCACUGGACAUUUACUGACGCUGAUGCACGAAAGCUAGGGGAGCAAACAGGAUUAGAUACCCCGGUAGUCCCUGUCUCUUAUAC
rnacentral:rRNA from 1 species